AAAAAAAAAAACUGAAAAUGAUCUCCUAACGGUUAGGACCUAACCCUUCCAUUCCAGACUCCUCCCUCAGAAUGAAAUUUCUCAUCCUGGCUGGCCUUUUGAGCACUGCCACUGCUCUGCCCAUCCCUUUCGAACAAUCUGGAGGCAGUUCCAGUGAUCAGAGAUUUAGCUUUUACCCACCCCAAGGACUACCAUUUUUUCCUCAGUUCCCAUUUUUCCCACCUCCACAACUGCCCCC